rnacentral:rRNA from 1 species
UGGGGAAUAUUGGGGCAAUGGGGCGAAAGCCUGACCCAGCAACGCCGCGUGGAGGAAGAAGGUUUUCGGAUCGUAAACUCCUGUCCUCAGGGAAGAGAAAGAGACGGUACCUGAGGAGGAAGCCCCGGCUAACUACGUGCCAGCAGCCGCGGUAAUACGUAGGUGGCAAGCGUUAUCCGGAUUUACUGGGUGUAAAGGGCGCGUAGGCGGGGAUGCAAGUCAGAUGUGAAAUCUAUGGGCUUAACCCAUAAACUGCAUUUGAAACUGUAUCUCUUGAGUGUCGGAGGGGUAGACGGAAUUCCUAGUGUAGCGGUGAAAUGCGUAGAUAUUAGGAGGAACACCAGUGGCGAAGGCGGUCUACUGGACGAUAACUGACGCUGAGGCGCGAAAGCGUGGGGAGCAAACAGGAUUAGAUACCCUGGUAGU